ACACAGACUCACAGACACAUACACACACACACACACUAAAUAUAUAUACACAUACACACAGGCACACACAUACACAUACACAAUACACACACACACAUGCACAAUAAAUAUAUAUACACAUACACAGACACACAUGUACACAUAGCACACAUGCACACACAUACACAUACAAAAUACACACACACACACACACACACACACAUGUGCAUGCAUUCGUGAGCUGGAAGUGUAUAGCACAGGAUCAGGCUUGAUGAUGGGGCCUCAGCAGAGACUUGACCUUUACACCCAUGUCAGGCUGCCUGACACACUUGGUCUAUCCUUGGCUUUGUAGAGAAACCAAGUGCCUGUCCCCUCAGGUCUGUGUUUUGUCUGGGGUUUACAACCCACUCUUCUGCUCCCCUAGGUCCUGGGGCAGCUUCUACUGUUCACCCGAGGGUUCCAGGUGCUCCCUGAGUUCUGUAGGCAACACAAAGUCAGCCAGCAGAGGAUCUAGAGACGGGCAGGAGGAGCCCACCCCACCUCUAGCUGGGUACACAGCAUGAACUGCUGAUUCAUGGACACUGGUGAGGCUUGGGCUGCUCAUACAUCCUCUCAUCUCCAGCUGUCGGCCAAAGCGUAAUUGUAGCUGUCACUUUGGCAGCAAGAUGCUGUGAUGUGUCCUAAAACAACUGCCUCUGCUCUGCAGCAGAGCUCUUGGGAGGUGGGAGGGAUCUGCAGCUGCUCCCUUGGAGAGAGCCAUUCUGGAAAUCAAUCUGCAUGAGAUUUGUCCAGGUGCAGUCCCAGGGCAGUGUGAGCCCCAGGGAGGGGCCCUGUGCUGGAACCAGCUGGGUGCUGCCUACGUCAGCAUCUUCCGGAACGCCGUCCUGAUGGCAUCCAUUAAUGAGAGACAGGCUGCCGUUGGAGGGAGGCAUUGCUGGCAGCUCUGAGGAGUUGGAAAGCAGCCUUUAGACAAUGCACGAGUUGGACUCCAGGGUGAAUGGAUAGUUAGAUAGUGGCGGAGGGAGGUAGUGCCCGAAACAAAGCUGGGACCAAACUGAGAAAGAAGCGAGGACGCUGAGGGCCGGACCUGCAGCUUGGACUGCAUCCUGGAAGCAACUGAGAGUCUCUGGAAGCCUUAGAGGAGACGGUGAAGUGGAAGUGAUGGAGGCUCUGUACUCAGUGGAUCAUUGCAUCGGGGAACCUCAUCAUGCCAGCAGAGAGCAGAGGCCAGCAAGGGUUGCUUAGGAAGACCGAGGACUAGGAAGUGUUUGGAGCCGUUCCCAGGCGCUGACCCACCCCCGAGCACGGGUGCCAGCACAUAUCUGGACCAUCGUGUAAGUCGGGAGGAAGACACAACUCAGUCAACAAAUAUUUGGUGUACCUCCUCGGAAGUGAGCUGUUGCGCAAGCAGCGGUUUGGCAGUGAUUCUCCUGUUCAGCUGCAAGCUGCGCAGGGCAGGAUGCCUUUCAGGAGGAGGAGGGGCAGGUGGAAUCGUCUUCCCACUCCUGUGUGAUCCUCUGUGGGAUGUUCCCUGCUCUGGGCUGCCAGCCGCUAGGCCAGUACUGAGCAGUGAGGAAAUCCUGCCACCACAGUAGCUCAUUCAGUAGGGUUACUGUCGGUGGGCAGGGCCUGAGCCUCUCUCCAGAAUUCAGGCAGCAUGUCACAACAUGUAGUAGGCCCCUGUGACUGCCAUGGCCAAUUUGGAGCAACAUAUCAAGAUGUAGUUUUGCCUAUUUGGUACAUUUUUCCCUUUAAAAAAAAAAAAAAAGAAUCACAAGAUUUUAGAAUUGGAUGCAGUGUCUUGAGACAGGGUCUCCCAGAAUCUGUCUCUGUUUUUUGUUUGUUUUUGUUUUACGGGACAGGGUUUCACUGUGUAGCCCUGGCUGUCCUGAAAUGCACUCUGCAGACCAGGCUGGCCUCGAACUCACCUGCCUCUGCCUCCUGAGUGCUGGGAUUAGGGGUGUGAGCCACCACCGCCUGGUUUAUCUCUGCUUUUCAGUGCAGCCAUGACCAGCUUUCUUCGUGAAUGCUGAGGAUUCAAACCCAAGUCCUCAUGCUUUCUCUUACCCACGGGACUGUCUCCAUAGUCUCUUGUUGGGCUUUGAGACAAGGUCUCAUGGAUGGCCUGGAACUCACUAUAAUAUCAGAAGAUGACCUUGAACCUCUGAUCCUUCUGCCUCACAAGUGUUGAGAUUACGGGCAUACUCUACCAUGCCUGGUUUUAUCCAGUGUUAGGGAAUGGAACCCAGGGCUUUGUGCAUGCUAGGCAAGCACUCUACCAACUGAACUACAUCCUCAGGUGUUUUGGAGACAGGGUCUCACAAUAUAGUUGAGACUGGCCUCCAGCUCAUCAUUCUCCUGCUUCAGCCUCCUAAGCACUAGAAUUGCAGCUGCAAAUACAUUAAAAAAAAAAAAAAAAAAAAAAAAAAAAACUAAACAGGCCUUCAUCUUAGAAACACUGAGGCUUCCACGUACUAUGGACAGAAGGAUGGACAGAAGAAUGGCUGAGACAGCCCGUCAAGGGUACUUGCAGGUGUGAACUCUUAGAAGUUUACACCCCAUAUAAAUAGGAAAAGAGUGACAGAAACACAAAUCAAUGUCUGUGAAGACAGAGGAGUUUACUUCUCACUAAAAACCGGGGUGUGGUGGCAAGGGUGGGGGGUAGAGAUGGCUUGCCACCAAGUCUGAUGACCUGUAUUUGAUCUCUGGGACCCACAUGGUAGAUGGAGAGAAGAACUGAUUUCUUAAAGUUGUAGUCUGACCUCUAGACAUGUGCUGUGAGUGGCAUGUGUGUAGGGACAUGCAUGAGCACACAUGCACAAAAUAAGUAAAUAAAUAUAUGUAAUUAAAAAAAAAAAAAAAAAACCUGCCGGGCGGUGGUGGCGCACGCCUUUAAUCCCAGCACUCGGGAGGCAGAGGCAGGCGGAUCUCUGUGAGUUCGAGGCCAGCCUGGUCUACAGCGCGAGAUCCAGGAAAGGCGCAAAGCUACACAGAGAAACCCUGUCUCGAAAAACCAAAAAAAAAAAAAAAAAAACCUGCUGGAGAGAGGGUUCAGUGUGUCAGACACUUGCUGUGCAAACGUGAGGACCGGAAGUCAGGUUCUGGGAAUCUGCAUACUGCCAGAAGCAGUAGCAUGAACACAUGACCUCAGCGCUCCUCCCAGUGCUCCUAUAGCAAGCUGUGAGGUUGUCCCCAGAACCUCACAGACCGGCUAGGCUGAGUGUGCAGAGGAGAACAGAAAACCCUCCUGUCUCAACCAAGGGGGAAGGCAAGGACUGACUGACACCCAAGAUUGUGCUCUCACCUCCACUUGAGUGCCACGGCAUGCACGUGCCCAAAUUCACACACACAUGCAUGCACACACAUCAUAUGCAAACACACACACACACACACACACACACACACACACACACACACACACACACAGUAGUAGCCCAUGUUCAUAUUCCCAGAACUUGGGAGGUAGAGUCAGAAGGAUCAGGAACUCAAGGUCAUUCUCAGUUACGAAGUGAGCUCCAGGCCAGCCUGGGCUACAGGAGGUCCUGUCUCAAAACCAAACGCCUCUGGUGUGGGCUUGGGUGUGGUUUGGUAGCAGAGCAUUUGCCUAACAUGCACCGACUCUGCUUCCAUCCCAGCCUGCAAAAGAAAAGAGCGCUUCAGUGGCUCCAAAUAAGACCAAACAUCACUGACCUCACACUUCCUGUGGAUCAGGAUUCGGAAGUGACUUAGGCACGUGUGUGUGUAUGUGUGUGUGUGUGUGUGUGUGUGUGUGUGUGUGUGUGUGUGAAGAAGCUUCAGUCAGAAUGGGGACUGUGGUCAUUUGAAGGCUUGAGUGGGGCUACAACAUGCUGAGAAGUUGGUCUUUGCUGUUGGCAGGAGCCUGGGUCCCCUGUGACCUUCAUCCACGCAGUCACUUGAGUGAACCUAAAGCAUGGCCUCUGGCCUUUGCUGGCCUAGGGCAAACAAUCCGAGAAAAAGCAAACCACAAUUAAUGUUUUUUAUGAUACUGUUACAGAAGUGACAUGCUCUACUUCCUAUGGCUAUCUUUCUGUGAUAGCUCAGGUUAUUGGUUAAACAGGCCAGUCCUACUGAAUGGAGAGGAGAACGGAAUAAGAAAGAAUAUCAGGAACCGAGGGUCACCGGGAGUCAUCUUAGAAACUGCCAACCAUAUUUGCUGUCCUCAAAAAGAAGCUUCUGCGUAGAGUUCCAAGAUGGCUGCUCUAAUUCCAGCUGUCAGUCAUAGACAAUGCUUUGCAAUUAAGGUGAACAAGGAAGAAGGAAGGCAGGACAUGUUUUUUUUUUUUUCUCUUAAGGAUGCUUUCUAGAUGUUGGACACAACGUUCUACAUGUAUCUUAUUAAUCAGAAUUUGUUCACAUAGCUGCAAAGGAGGCUGGCAAAUUUAGUAUUUAUUCUGGGAGAGUCUGUGUUUGGCUAGUCUGUACACUGGAGGACAAGUGCAGCCUCUGCCACACUGGCACUGUCCCAGAGUACAUUACAAAGGUUAGGGGGUAGGGGACAGAAAGAACAUCACAGACCUUGGGUUUCUGACCUGGAUAAGAACUUAUGAGCUUUCUUGGCUGGUGUGUGUGUGUGUGUGUGUGUGUGUGUGUGUGUGUGUGUGUGUGUGUGUGUGUUAGAGAAGUACGUAUUAGUAAUUCAUGAAUCUCAAUGUAAAGAGAAAGCUCAGGAGACAAAUGGGCAUGAAAAACAAACUCAGGGGAGGGCAAGAUGACUCAGAGGACAAAGGUAAUUCUGACAAUCCUGAGGACCUGAUUUUAAUCCUUGGGACCCUCAUGGUGAAAGGAGAGAACUGACUUCUACCAGUUGUCCUUACACUUCCAAAUGGGUGUUAUGGCAUGUACACACACACACACACACACACACACACACACACACACUAAAUGAAAACAAAGUAGACCCAGUUCUUGAAGCCCAGCCCAGGGUGGUCCUAAAAAUGCAGCAGAUCCCCAAAUGAAAGCCCAUCACGGGAGGCCUGGUGAGAGCAGCUUCCUUGUGUACGCACAACUGCAGGUUUAAAUAAAUUCCAGGCUGCCGAGUAACGGAUCCAAAUGCAGAAGCACAGAUGGGCAGUUCCACCAGCUGUGUUUUGAAAAAGAUCAUAUGAUUCCUGAUCAAUGAACCAAAGAGACCAAAUGCAGGCAAGCUCAGAGUUGAGCAGCAGUGUUGCCCUGAGACCUCCUGGAGGCCACAGCCAGGACCCUAGCAGCCUGACUCCACCAGGAAGUGUGUGAGACACCAAAGCCUGGCCACACAGAGGAUGAGCUCUCUAUUUCUCUGACAGCUGGAGGAUGACCAGGUUCUGGCUUCACUGACUGGCCAAUGACAGCAACCCCCUGGCUUAGAAAAAAAGCAAAAUCUGCAAACAGAAAACUUAGUUUUGGCACCCAAAGUACAGCAGGGUCUCUGAUGAGGCCAUUCUGGUGGAUCUGCUGGUUGUCCUGCUAUGGGCAACAUGGACAUUGGGAACCUAACUGAAGAUGGGGGUGAAGACAUUGGACUGAGUGAGGACUCUGUGAUACUCAUUGUAUGGAAGGUAGUGUAGGGUAUUCUACCUACCUGACUGUGCCCACGCUCCUUGUCCAUGAUUGAGGGAGGUGGCCCAAGCUAGAUGAGGUCCUGGGUCCUGUAUUCCCAACUGGCUAUCUAUGUCAGGUCCUGUGUUCCCCUGCUUGCUUGGGUCAAACUUACACUUCCCAACACACUGGGCUGUCAAUCACCACAGCAAACAUUCUUCUAACCUCUUCCUCCUCUGUCUUGCUCAGUGUCCCAUGUUCACCAACAAGGUUUGGAGGACCUCUGUGGACUUCUCAUUAGAUUGCCCUUUCAAGAGAGAUCGCUAUGGAGGGUGGAGCUGAAGCUAAGUUGGAAGAGGGCUUGCCUGCCUCAAUUGCACUAAGUCCUGGGUUCUAUCCUGAGCUCCACAUGAAUGGGGUGUAUGCCUGUAAUCCCAGCACUCAGGAGUAUCAGAAAGCCAAGGUAUCCUUGGCUACAUAGCAAGCUUGAGACCAACCUGAGCUGUAUGACACUGAGAGAGAGAGAGACAGAGACAGAGAGAGAGACAGAGACAGAGAGAGAGAUGCAGUCAAUGGCUGAGUCCAGUCUCCAACCUUGUGGAGAAGGAAAACAGAAGGUUGUAGGGUGACUGGACUGGCAGGGUGUCGCGGUUGAGCUAUGGGGAAGGAGAGCAAAGUGAAGAGCCCAGACUGGCCUUUGCUAGCUACAGCUCUGUUGCACCAAUGUUUAUCCAGCACCUGCUCAAUCAUAAAGACAAUAGCCACAUCCCAUAUCCUGGGGACCCAGAAUAGAGGAAGACUCUAUGACAUCAUCACCACAGACACAUAAACAAAGGAAAACAGUAGAGAAUGUAACAUGUAGAGAUGGGUUAAGAGCAAGGCCCCCCAAAAGAUGGAUCUGUACUGGGGAAGCUGCGAGGGAAGGAAGCCCAGAGGACCUGACACCUGCAGGAAGGACCAGGCAUCUAAGGAAGGGUGCAUCCCUGCACCUGCAAACUCCCCAGGGCAGAGGUUAGGGGAAUCCCAGACCUGCUGUGUUCCUUGCUCUCUGAAGUCUCUGGUUCCCUGGGGGUAAGUGUGGCCUUGAUCUUUUGCCAUGGAGCAACCCAGCAGGGUCAAGGGAGGGGCAAAGCUGAAAAUGGUCUGCCAUUAUCUGCUGGGCUCCUUGUUGUCUUUGGAUCUUUGGUAUCUGACCGUGAUGGUGGAGGAACCUGUAAAUUGAAAAGGUUGUGGGAUGAAUCUGUCCUUGGAGAAUUUUCCUGAGUUCUAGUCCUUCUCCAUAGAAGUCACCCAAGGGACCUAGGCAGACUCUCAGGCCCAACUGCACAGCCACCUCUAGUGGUACAGGAGACAAAGCUUGAAGGUGUAUUAGAUGAGCCACUGUGGCCUAUUUCUUGUCAUCAGAUCCAGUCCCCAAGAUCUCUGGGUCCUUUAAGAAGCCAUGCAAACCCCCUCAUCACCUAAACACCCACCUGGCCCCUGCAGCCAGUUCUACAGUACAAAAAGGACCACAUUCAUGCUCUAGCCUUAUAUGCUGUGCAAGCUUGCUUUCCUUCUAAGACCCAGGAAUGUGAGAUGCUAGUAAGCGAUCAGAUGGCUUCAACCUGAAGGGCUUCUCAGAAAUCAUUCUAGAGAAUUAAGGAAGCAUGGGCUCCAUCAGGUCCAGAGGGCCCCAGGUCCUCUGAGAGUCAAGGUGGGCAGGUGAGACCAGAGCUACCCUUGGACAUCUAGAAAACCUCUUUUGGCUGUUGUUCUUCUCGCUGGGACGUGCAAUCAGUUUCUUGGCAGCCCUGGGCAGGUUCUAUCCCCCUGGAUCAGGAACAAAUUGAAGGCCUUACCUGCUGUCCUAUGAACCUCACCAGUACCCCAUAUUCUCUUUCUGCAGCCCAGUGUGUGCCCAUCGUGGUGUGUGUGUGUGUGUGUGUGUGUGUGUGUGUGUGUGUGUGUGUGUGUGCAUGAGUGUGUGCACAAAUGCAUAUGGAGAACAGAGGUCAACCACGAGUAGCUUCUUCAGUCACUCUCCACCCUUUUCCUUGUUUUUUGAGAUAGUGUCUCUCAUUUUUAUCUGGAAUUUCCAAUUCCAUUAGGCUGACUGGCCACCAGCUUUAGAUAUCCACCUAUCUCUGCCUUCCCACUUCUGGGAUUACAAGUGCACACAACCACUCCUGGUUUGUUAUGUGCACUCCAGGGCUGGACUCUGAGCUUGUGUUGACUGAGCCAGGCAUUAACUUUUGUUUGUUUGUUUAUUGUCCUCCCCCACACACACAAGAUCUCCCAUAUUCACCCAGAGCCCUGGAUUUCUCUUUUGUCACAUCCAAUUGCACUCUUGUUACUGUUGGCAUCAAUUGUCCCACCUGACCAGGCCCAGCUUCAGCGCUGUCUCACCUACCAAGUUUUUCUUGUCAUCCUCUGUCCUCUGAACCCAUGACCUAAGGGCUGGAGCUUUUAUUGGAUUUGCAUCUUUAAUUACAGGAGCCAUACAUGCUUGUAAAAACAUUCCCACAUUACAGAUGCGUGCUCAGUAAAACAAGUGUGUCAUCCUGACCUCCUUUUCCCUAGGGCUCACUGCAGUUAGCUGGAAAUACACAUGGGGACUGGUGGUCUCUUGGGGACCUUCCCUAACUACUUGAUGUGGGAUGACAGAGUAGGUGGAAGUGAUCAGUCAGUGGAAGCUUCCAGAGUGUGGUGAUAUGGGUUGACUUAGAAAACCCUCAAGGUCAGUCUGUGGGACCUCUUGAUUCCUUUUACAAGACAGUUCAAAGCGCAGAGCCCCAGGGAGGUAUUCCUAGCUCAUGUGGGAAUAAGCAUUCUAAUUCACCCAAGAGCCAGAAACUCAAGUUCAAAAAGCACACAGGUCUCCAGAGAAUGCCCUUGGCCUAGUGUAGCCAGCCAGAACAAGCCUAGGCAGAACUGACUCUAAGUUUGGCCACUUUCUCAUUGUGGUCACUUGGUGAGAUGGAGAAGGGCAGGUUGUGAAGCCCUGCCUUUCUUAGGAGAGGUUGUAAGAACCAUAGCUGUGCUGGCAUGUCCUUCUCCAGGGAGAAGGGAUUGAACUAUAUUAAUACCAUAUUAGGUCACUCUACCCCAGCUUAAAGAUGGCCUGGAAGGCUCAACCAAGGUGUUAGCAUAUCAACUAGAACUUAAAAGAGAAGUAAGCAGAGUGGCCAAGAAGAGGGGAGGAUGAUCUGGUGGUGGUGGUGGUGCACGCCUUUAAUCCCAGCACUCAGGAGACAGAGGCAGGGGGAUCUCUGUGAGUUUGAGGCCAGCCUGGUCUACAGAGUGAGUUCCAGAAUAGCCAGAGCUACACAGAGAAACACAACAAAAACAACAACAAUGAGAGAGAGACAGAGAGAGAGACAGAGAGACAUAGAGAGAGACAGAGACAGACAGAGACAGAGACAGAGACAGAGACAGAGACAGAGAAGGGCAGCAUCUCCUCCAAGAGAGGCCACAGACAUUGUAAAAACUGAAAAUUCAGGAUGUGAUUAAGUGGAGUUAACUAUUGGGGUAUGUAGACCUUCUCUGCCAAGCCAAGAGGUCAAACCUUUGUCCCAAUGAUCAAGAUGCAUUAAGAAAAGCUUGACAAGUUUAGGUAAAUGAUAGUGGUGGCCAAGACCAGGGUCCCAGCUUAGAAUUCAAUAUAGCAUGCAAGGGAAGGGGGAAAAUGAAGAGGAUUCAGGCUUUAUGGAUGAGGGUGUAGAUCCUAGACCCACAGAAGCAUUAAGCAAAUAUUUCUAUGAAUAGUUCUAUGUUUAAUGUAUCAUAUCAUAAUUGCAUUUUGACCAAUUUUAUUUCUCAAAUGGACAAUCAUACUUGUGUAAUAAUGUUAAAACAACCUUCUUUUGUAAUAUACUGCCAGUAUAUGUGUAUGAUCCAUGGUUUGAUGAUAAGUGAUUGAAGAAAUGAAGAAAGCUUUAAGCAGGUAAAAUCAUGUUGCUGGAUUAGUUAUAGCAGGAAUUGCAGCUCUUGUUACUAUGCUUGCUACUAUUACUGUUGCUUCAGUGGCUUUGUCUCAAUUCAUUCAGACAGCAGGGUUUGUUAAUCAAUUGUCUAUGAAUGUUUCUAGGACAUUAGAGAUUCAAGAAGAUAUAGAUGUAAAAAUGGAACAUAAAUUGAAUGUUUUGUAUGAUGUGGUACAAUUUCUGGGAGAUGAACUCCAAAGCCUGAAAACUAGAGUACAUUUGACAUGUAAUGCUAAUUAUGAAUGGAUUUGUGUUAGUCUUCUUCGUAUAAUGAAAGUGCUAUUGGGUGGGAAAGAGUCAAGGCACAUCUUAAAGGAAUUUGGCAUGAUUUUAAUGAAUCCUUAAAUUUGGAUUAUAAUCCAAUAUAUAACAUCAAGAGAUUAUAGAAAUGAAAAAAGGCUAAAUUGGAUUUUGAUGCAGUUAAAACAGCUGAAGAUAUUCCAGAACAAGUCAAAAGGGCGAUCCCAUCAUGGUCAUCAUUUACUUCGCUCUUAAGUAGUGCUGUAGUUGGUGGAGCAUGUGUCUUAGUAGGCAUAAUCUGUUUGCCUAUGAUUCUCAAGCUGAUUUUGAACUUGUUAUGGAGAAUGGGUUCAGAAUUCCAUUCAAUAAAACUCCACACAGUCCUCUGACUUGACACCAGAGGCUGGUAGCCAAAGACGGGUAAGUUUUCUUUGCCUCCUUUCAACCUAAGACAGGACAUGAAUGAUGGAAUUCAUGCUCCCAAGACAGGUAAGAUUCAAGUGUGGUAAGGAAAGAACCUAAGACAGGCACUAAGAGAGACUCAGUGGAAUCUUAAAUAAAAAGAGAGGAAUUGUGGGAGCCCACAACUGACUCAGUUUCCCAAUCUGAUUCUGAAGUCUAUUCUGAGUCAAUAGAGUUCAAGCUUGUUUACUCUAGGGCUGGGAAAAUGUCCUGAUUAGCCCACAGAGUCUCCUUGAAGGGCUGUGAGAAAGUCCUGAUUAGCACACAGGAAGGACCAUACUAUCUAGCUACAUGUAGGCUGCUGAUGCCGACCAGAGGUACAUCAAGAUAGAAAAUGAAACUGCCUGCUCCUUGAUGCAAGGCAGGAUAGAUAGUGGUUGAAUGCCUGUGCUGUGCAUUGUUCUACCUCUGUCCUUCAAAACUGUAUAUAAGCUGGCUAUGAAAUAAACUCGGGGUGUCCAGCAUUGACUGGCAGACCUCUCAACUCUUUUCUGUCUUCUCUACAAUCCACAUGCCUCUACCCAACUACUCAGCUGACUGGUCGGCAGGCUCCAACAGAUGCUGUCUGAAAAUUGGGGCAUUGGGCUGUGAGUAUGGUGAGGUAUAUGCACUGGAACCAAAAGUCUCCAAGUCUCUAGUGCCCUGAGUGACUUUGACAUGGCUUUCCUCUCCAGGCCUCUACCUCCAGCCCCAAGACCUUUGCUCACACUCUCGACUCAUUGUCUUUCUCUUCUUUGUCUACAGGGUACCUGCUUAUCCUUACCUUUUGUGCUUUUCCAAGAAAGAGCUCACUGGCUUCCUAGGUCAGAGUCUAUGAGUCAAGAGUCCCACAUUCUAUUACUUCCUCCCAUUCACCACAGGGGUCCACUGGCUUGCUACCUCCCCAAACAGCCUGCAACCUACUCACCUCUGUAUCCCCAGCACCUGAUAAGGGGGGGGGGUCUGUCCCUAGUGAAGACAUUGAAUAGCUGAGUAAAUAGGUAAACCAAAGGGCAGAUUGCAUUUGAGAAAAUAAAAAGGCUUGGGCCAACAACAAGCUGGCUCAGCAGGUAAAGGCACUUGCUGCCAAGCCUGAAGACCUGAAUUCAAUCCUUGGAAUCCACAGGAUGGAAGGAGAGAACUGAGAAGUGGUCCUCUGACCUCCUCGUGUUUGCUGUGGUGCAUGUGUACAUACAACCCCCCGAAAAAAG